CAGGAGGGGCAGGCAGAGGGGCACCAGGCCCCACGCUGCGAGUGGGGCUGCAGGGAAAGUUGCCGGGUCCUGCUGGCUGAGCCGCCCGGGGCUUGCCUAGGCGGCGGCGGCGGUGGGGCAGCCGACUCGGGCCCUAGCCGCCGCUCGCCCUCGAGCCGGAGUCCCACUCCGCCCGCAGCGGCCCAGCCCGGCCCGACCCACGGCCUCGGCGGCUCUGUGGCCUGUGCGGCGUGGGCUCGCCCGACCCCGAAACUUUCGCCUGGGGGUCGCCGGCAGGAGGCAAGGACAGCAAGGUCCCGGGCCGGCGCGGGGCGUGCGUCUCCGCAGCCCACGGACGAAGGCUCGCACUGCCCGCCCGCCGCGUCCGAGGGGCGCUGCCCGGGCCCGCCCGCAAAGCUGGCACAAAACAAAAGCAGAGGCAUGGCACAAGUCACAACCAUCCCCGAGGGCAGCGAGAUACAUGACCCUCCACUGUGCUGCUUGCUGUCCUGGAACAGCUUCUCUGUCUAAAGUUUGCCUUUGUUUGGGCCAGCUUGAAUCUGAAGUCUGUGCUUUUGACAGCUGCUUCACUAGGGAAUGGGAAGAACUCCAUGCCUCAGUCUAAGAAGGGAAGCCUUACACAAACAUGUUGGUGAAGGACGUAAUGAAGGAAUUGGGCAUUGUGAUUUCAACAUACUUAGUCAUAUUCCAACUCCAAGACCUCCGAUGCCCAUGCAAACUGUCAGCUGCUCCUGUUGCCAUUCUUAUGAGGUCAAUAAGGUUACCAGAAAAUACUGUGCAAGAUGCCAAGAUAGAGAAGCAAUUAAUAGUCCUACCCAGUUGUGAUACCUUUCAACCAUGGCAAUGACCAGCAUGGGGCUUACAUCGCUAUGGGUGACAAGGGAAUGAAGAAAUGGCAGCACACACAGAAACACAGAAAAGCUGGGAUUCGGUGGACUGGGCGCUCUCUGAUGGAGGAACUGCAGGACUCUAGAAGUUCAGCAUGUUGACUAUCAACAUCCAAACAUGGACAAGAGGAAGUCUUAGCCACCUUUCUGAGCUUCACCCUGCGAGUGUGUAUGUGUGGGGGCUUGUGCCAUUUUAUCAUGAGUCUGAGACUAUAGUUCUUGGCAUGGACAUGCACAUAUCAAUAGCACAUCUUCACUAAGGACAUCAGGCAUUUAGGACUUCCUCCACUCCCAACACUCAUCACAUAUGAAAUUCUGAACUGAAUCAAAAGCCCUAAAAUUCAAAAAGAUUUUCUCAAAAGCAGGAAAUAAUAUGAAACUUUGCAGAGUUAGGUUAUAGCAUUUUCAUAAAUUAUGUCUUUAGUACACCAGGAAUAUCAACCACCAGUUGUAGAACAUGUAUUUACAGUGAUAAUGAAAUUCUAUUAUCUUAAAAUGAAUGAGAAAAAAAAGAGUAAUGAAUUUGAAAAAUAGGGGAGCAUUUGAAUGAAGGAAAGGGAAUUUGGUAAUGAUGUAAUUAUACUAUAAUCUCAAAAAAUACAAGAAAUAGUUAAAACACAAAGAAAACAUUUCUUUUAUCUUUGAAGUCUUGUUUAAUUCACUUGUAUAAAAACCAACUUCACACAUAUUUUUAGAUUUAUGUCUCUAUUAAAGUAUGUCAGUGCAUGAAUUUAGGAUAAAUAACAUGUAUCUUCUUAUAGCUUGAUGUGAACUUUGAGACCUCAUUCACUUGCAGAGUUACCUUCUCUUCCGCAUUCAGGAAAUGUUUGGGGUAGCUGACAUGGUUGUGCUGAAUAAA